AGAGUUUGAUCCUGGCUCAGGACGAACGCUGGCGGCGUGCUUAACACAUGCAAGUCGAACGGAAAGGCCCCUUCGGGGGUACUCGAGUGGCGAACGGGUGAGUAACACGAGGGUGAUCUGCCCUGCACUUUGGGAUAAGCCUGGGAAACUGGGUCUAAUACCGAAUAGGACCGCAUGCUUCAUGGUGUGUGGUGGAAAGCUUUUGCGGUGUGGGAUGGGCCCGCGGCCUAUCAGCUUGUUGGUGGGGUAAUGGCCUACCAAGGCGACGACGGGUAGCCGGCCUGAGAGGGUGUCCGGCCACACUGGGACUGAGAUACGGCCCAGACUCCUACGGGAGGCAGCAGUGGGGAAUAUUGCACAAUGGGCGCAAGCCUGAUGCAGCGACGCCGCGUGGGGGAUGACGGCCUUCGGGUUGUAAACCUCUUUCAGUAUCGGCGAAGCUCCAGGAUUUUUCUUGGGGUGACGGUAGGUACAGAAGAAGCACCGGCCAACUACGUGCCGGCAGCCGCGGUAAUACGUAGGGUGCGAGCGUUGUCCGGAAUUACUGGGCGUAAAGAGCUCGUAGGUGGUUUGUCACGUUGUCCGUGAAAACUCACAGCUUAACUGUGGGCGUGCGGGCGAUACGGGCAGACUGGAGUACUGUAGGGGAGACUGGAAUUCCUGGUGUAGCGGUGGAAUGCGCAGAUAUCAGGAGGAACACCGGUGGCGAAGGCGGGUCUCUGGGCAGUAACUGACGCUGAGGAGCGAAAGCGUGGGGAGCGAACAGGAUUAGAUACCCUGGUAGUC
rnacentral:rRNA from 1 species